rnacentral:rRNA from 1 species
GACGAACCGUCCAAACGUUAUUCGGAAUCACUGGGCUUAAAGGGCGCGUAGGUGGGUUGGCCAGUCUAUGGUGAAAUCCUCCGGCUUAACCGGAGAACUGCCGUGGAUACUGCCAGUCUCGAGGAGGGUAGGGGCGUCUGGAACUAGCGGUGGAGCGGUGAAAUGCGUUGAUAUCGCUAGGAACUCCGGUGGCGAAGGCGAGACGCUGGACCCUUUCUGACACUGAGGCGCGAAAGCUAGGGGAGCAAACGGG